rnacentral:rRNA from 1 species
UACGUAGGGGGCAAGCGUUAUCCGGAUUUACUGGGUGUAAAGGGUGCGCAGGUGGCAGGGCAAGUCAGAUGUGAAAGCCCGGGGCUCAACCCCGGUAUUGCAUUUGAAACUGUCCGGCUAGAGUGCAGGAGAGGUAAGCGGAAUUCCUAGUGUAGCGGUGAAAUGCGUAGAUAUUAGGAGGAACACCAGUGGCGAAGGCGGCUUACUGGACUGUAACUGACACUGAGGCACGAAAGCGUGGGGAGCAAACAGG